rnacentral:rRNA from 1 species
CAUGUCUUUUUGAUAAUGAUUUAAAGUCUAAUCUGCUCAAUGAAUUUUAAAUUGCCGCGGUAUUUUGACCGUGCGAAGGUAGCAUAAUAAUUAGGUUCUUAAUUAGAAUCUGGAAUGAAUGAUUGGACGAGAAAUCAACUGUCUCAAUUUUAAUAUUUAGAAUUUAACUUUUAAGUCAAAAGGCUUAAAUUUUUUUGGAAGACGAGAAGACCCUAUAGAGUUUAAUAUUUAUAAUAAAUUAAUAUUUUUUAGUAUUUAUUUUAAUUAUUAAGUAAUAUUUAAUUGGGGUGAUUAUUAAAUUAAAAAAACUUUAUUUAUUAUUUUACAUUAAUUAAUGGUUAAUUGAUCCAAUGAUUUUGAUUAAAAGAGUAAAUUACCUUAGGGAUAACAGCGUAAUUUUUUUGGAAAGUUCAUAUUUAUAAAAAAGAUUGCGACCUCGAUGUUGGAUUAAGAUUUAUUUUGGGUGUAGAAGCUUAAAUAUUUGGUCUGUUCGACCAUUAAAAUUUUACAUGAUCUGAGU